rnacentral:rRNA from 1 species
AUUGAACGCUGGCGGCAGGCCUAACACAUGCAAGUCGAGCGGUAACAGGAAGAAGCUUGCUUCUUUGCUGACGAGUGGCGGACGGGUGAGUAAUGUCUGGGAAACUGCCUGAUGGAGGGGGAUAACUACUGGAAACGGUAGCUAAUACCGCAUAACGUCGCAAGACCAAAGAGGGGGACCUUCGGGCCUCUUGCCAUCGGAUGUGCCCAGAUGGGAUUAGCUAGUAGGUGGGGUAACGGCUCACCUAGGCGACGAUCCCUAGCUGGUCUGAGAGGAUGACCAGCCACACUGGAACUGAGACACGGUCCAGACUCCUACGGGAGGCAGCAGUGGGGAAUAUUACACAAAGGGCGCAAGCCUGAUGCAGCCAUGCCGCGUGUAUGAAGAAGGCCUUCGGGUUGUAAAGUACUUUCAGCGGGGAGGAAGGGAGUAAAGUUAAUACCUUUGCUCAUUGACGUUACCCGCAGAAGAAGCACCGGCUAACUCCGUG